CUUUUCCUUUUGUGACUUUAUACGUGAUAAAUACAAGCAGGAAGGCCAAGAUGGAAGCCAUUCAGUGAAAGAAAAACAAAAAAACGAUAAAAAAAAGCUGUUUGUGCCUCUCUUUUUG
rnacentral:ribozyme from 14 species